rnacentral:rRNA from 1 species
CCUACGGGCGGCAUCAUUGAGGAAUCUUGGUCAAUGGGCGGGAGCCUGAACCAGCCAAGUCGCGUGAGGUCUUCCUUCCCUCUUUUUUUUCCCCCUCUUUUUCCGUUUCCCCCCGUGCCGCACGUGUGCGGUUUGGAGAGUACCCGGAGAAAAAGCAUCGGCUAACUCCGUGCCAGCAGCCGCGGUAAUACGGAGGAUGCGAGCGUUAUCCGGAUUUAUUGGGUUUAAGGGGUGCGCAGGCGGUCUGUUAAGUCAGCGGUCAAAGCCCGGGGCUCAACCCCGGCCCGCCGUUGAAACUGGCAGUCUCGAGUUGGAGAGAAGUAUGCGGAAUGCGCGGUGUAGCGGUGAAAUGCAUAGAUAUCGCGCAGAACUCCGAUUGCGAAGGCAGCAUGCCGGCUCCACACUGACGCUGAGGCACGAAAGCGUGGGUAUCGAACAGGAUUAGAUACCCCUGUAGUC